rnacentral:rRNA from 1 species
AUCAACGCUGGCGGCGCGCUUAACACAUGCAAGUCGCACGAGAAAAGGGAGGCAAUCCCUGAGUACAGUGGCGUACGGGUGAGUAACACGUGGAUGAUCUACCUUCUAGUGGGGAAUAACCCUGGGAAACCGGGGCUAAUACCGCAUAAGCUCGAGAGAGGAAAGCAGCAAUGCGCUGGAAGAGGAGUCCGCGGCCGAUUAGCUAGUUGGCAGGGUAAAAGCCUACCAAGGCAAAGAUCGGUAGCCGGCCUGAGAGGGCACACGGCCACACUGGCACUGAAACACGGGCCAGACUCCUACGGGAGGCAGCAGUGGGGAAUCUUGCACAAUGGGGGAACCCUGAUGCAGCGACGCCGCGUGAGCGAUGAAGCCCUUCGGGGUGUAAAGCUCUUUCGGCAGGGAAGAUGAUGACGGUACCUGCAGAAGCAGCUGCGGCUAACUACGUGCCAGCAGCCGCGGUAAUACGUAGGCAGCGAGCGUUGUUCGGAGUUACUGGGCGUAAAGGGUGCGUAGGCGGUUGUUUAAGUUUGGUGUGAAAUCUCCCGGCUCAACUGGGAGGGUGCGCCGAAUACUGAAUGACUAGAGUGCGGGAGAGGAUAGUGAAUUCCUGGUGUAGCGGUGAAAUGCGUAGAUAUCAGGAGGAACACCGGUGGUGUAGACGGCUAUCUGGACCGUAACUGACGCUGAGGCACGAAAGCGUGGGUAGCAAACAGGAUUAGAUACCCUGGUAGUCCACGCCCCUAACGAUGCAUAUUUGGUGUGGGCAGUCAGUCUGUCCGUGCCGGAGCUAACGCGUUAAUAUGCCGCCUGGGGAGUACAGUCGCAAGGCUGAACUCAAAGGAAUUGACGGGGGCCCGCACAAGCGGUGGAGCAUGUGGUUCAAUUCGACGCAACGCGAAGAACCUUACCUGGGCUCGAACGGCUGGUCAACGCCGGUGGAAACAUCGGUACCCCGCAAGGGGGUCCAGUCGAGGUGCUGCAUGGCUGUCGUCAGCUCGUGUCGUGAGAUGUUGGGUUAAGUCCCGCAACGAGCGCAACCCUUGUCCUGUGUUGCCAUCAUUCAGUUGGGAACUCGCAGGAGACCGCCAGGGAUAACCUGGAGGAAGGUGGGGAUGACGUCAAGUCCUCAUGGCCUUUAUGUCCAGGGCUACACACGUGCUACAAUGGACGGUACAAACCGCAGCAAACCCGCGAGGGGGAGCCAAUCGGAAAAACCGUUCUCGGUUCGGAUUGCAGGCUGCAACUCGCCUGCAUGAAGCUGGAAUCGCUAGUAAUGGCAUAUCAGAACGAUUGCCGUGAAUACGUUCCCGGGCCUUGUACACACCGCCCGUCACAUCACGAGAGUUUGUAACACCCGAAGUCGGUGGGGUAACCUUUUCGGAGCCAGCGCCUAAGGUGGGACAGAUGAUUGGGGUG